CAUUGACGACAUCUUCAUGAUUGUUAAUAAUAAGGAAGUUGCCAGCGAUUUCGGCGCCUGUAUCAACAACAACCCAUAUGGGCUAACUCUACAGCUCGAACAAUUGGAUAACGAGAAGGUGCAUUUUUUGGACAUGUAUAUUACAAAGAAAAAUAAUUUUUUCUCUAUUUCCGUCUAUAGAAAACCCAGCAACAGGCUGUCUCAUACACGAGCAUUCCAAAGAUGCAGCUAAAUACAAGGAUGCUAGCAUCUCCGCACUCAUUUGGCAAGCAUAUAAACUUUGUACAGAGGAAGAGGACAUAAUAAACGAACUUAGGAUUCUCAAGGAGGUGUUCUUAACCCACGGAUAUUCUGGCAGCAAAUUCGACAACUUAGUCCACGAGAUCUGCACCAG
rnacentral:lncRNA from 1 species